rnacentral:rRNA from 1 species
CCUACGGGAGGCAGCAGUGGGGAAUAUUGGACAAUGGGGGCAACCCUGAUCCAGCCAUGCCGCGUGUGUGAAGAAGGCCCUCGGGUUGUAAAGCACUUUCAGUGAGGAAGAACGCCUGGUGGUUAAUACCCAUCAGGAAAGACAUCACUCACAGAAGAAGCACCGGCUAACUCCGUGCCAGCAGCCGCGGUAAUACGGAGGGUGCGAGCGUUAAUCGGAAUUACUGGGCGUAAAGCGCGCGUAGGUGGCUUGAUAAGCCGGUUGUGAAAGCCCCGGGCUCAACCUGGGAAUGGCAUCCGGAACUGUCAAGCUAGAGUGCAGGAGAGGAAGGUAGAAUUCCCGGUGUAGCGGUGAAAUGCGUAGAGAUCGGGAGGAAUACCAGUGGCGAAGGCGGCCUUCUGGACUGACACUGACACUGAGGUGCGAAAGCGUGGGUAGCAAACAGGAUUAGAUACCCCAGUAGUC